UUGGGAAUAUUGCACAAUGGGCGAAAGCCUGAUGCAGCGACGCCGCGUGAGGGAUGACGGCCUUCGGGUUGUAAACCUCUUUCAGCAGGGACGAAGCGCAAGUGACGGUACCUGCAGAAGAAGCACCGGCUAACUACGUGCCAGCAGCCGCGGUAAUACGUAGGGUGCAAGCGUUGUCCGGAAUUACUGGGCGUAAAGAGUUCGUAGGCGGUUUGUCGCGUCGUUUGUGAAAACCAGCAGCUCAACUGCUGGCUUGCAGGCGAUACGGGCAGACUUGAGUACUGCAGGGGAGACUGGAAUUCCUGGUGUAGCGGUGAAAUGCGCAGAUAUCAGGAGGAACACCGGUGGCGAAGGCGGGUCUCUGGGCAGUAACUGACGCUGAAGAACGAAAGCGUGGGUAGCGAACAGG
rnacentral:rRNA from 1 species